rnacentral:rRNA from 1 species
AUACGAAGGGUGCAAGCGUUGUUCGGAUUUACUGGGCGUAAAGCGUCCGUAGGUGGUUUGUUAAGUCAGGGGUGAAAUCCCGGGGCCUGACCCCGGAACUGCCUUUGAUACUGGCAGGCUGGAGCGCGAUAGAGGAAGAUGGAAUAUCUGGUGUAGGGGUGAAAUCCGUAGAUAUCAGAUAGAACACCAAUGGCGAAGGCAGUCUUCUGGAUCGUUGCUGACACUGAGGGACGAAAGCGUGGGUAGCAAACAGAAUUAGAUACUCUGGUAGUCCACGCCCUAAACGAUGCAUGCUUGUUGUUGGUUUCCUUCGGGGAAUCAGUGACGAAGCUAACGCGUUAAGCAUGCCGCCUGGGGACUACGAUCGCAAGAUUAAAACUCAAAGGAAUUGACGGGG